AGGCAAUCCAUCUGUUUUUGUUUUCUGUACCACAUUUCCUUCUCUAUAUUUUUUGCCCUGGGCUUUGAGAUACUGCUUCAACUUGAGCUUUUGGGGAACUAAUUAGUGUUUCAACAAUAUUUGCCUGCCCAAUUAGCUGGAGGCUCCUUGAUGGCAGAGACUGCCUCCUUGGUAUCCCCAGCACACAGCACAGAACCUGGCACAUACCUUCAGCCUUGGGAACUUCUGUGUGUUUAUUGCACAUUCAUGAAGGUUACAGUAAAUAAUACUCAAGUAAGUGCAUCAGGGUUUGUGGAGGGUUUGGUGCAGGCUUGUUCCAGAGCCUUAAUAGGAUGAAUCUGAAAAUGAGGCUUUGGAGAUUUGAUCAAAGGACAGGUGUCUUUUAAUGUUGAGUUUUUAAGAAACAUUAAGGAUCUCAAAUGAGAGAACACUUACCACCUGGACAAAAAGGACAUUCAACAGUGGCAUUUGGGGCUUGUGCCGUUACUGUUUGAACAGAGUAACUGUGAACUGUGAACUGGCUCAAGAAGAUGUGAGUGAUUUGGGAUGGACCUGCAAUGGGGCCUCUCCUGAAGGAGAGGACUAGGAACCGGACUAGGGCAACCAAGGGAUUGAUGGUAAGGUCUUAACCAUGUUUAUGUUCCCCAGUACCUAGCACAUAAUAAAUAGUUGUUGAAUGACUGAAUGAAUGAGAUCAGAGAUGAUUGAACUGGCUGCAGUUUUU
rnacentral:lncRNA from 10 species